GCACAAGUAGCUUCAAACAAUAAAGCGUCUGUCUACAAUGCAGGAGACCCGGGUUCGAGCCCUGGUUUGGGAA
rnacentral:tRNA from 1 species